AUAGAUAGUCAUACCACCCUAAAUAAGCCAAAUUUUAUCUGAUCCUGGAAGUUAAGCAGGGCUGGGUUUGAUUAGUAUAUGGAUGAGGGUCAGAGACUUCUCUG
rnacentral:rRNA from 1 species